GUCUUGUUCCUGUUCCUAUUCCCGCUCCUGUUCCCCUUCCCGUUCCUGAUCCCGGUUCUGUUCCAAUUCCCGGCCCUAUUCCGGUUCCCAUUCCCGGUCCCAGCAGCCCCAGGACCCCGUGGUGACACCCAGGGGACAUCAGGGGUGGCGCUCUGGGGACAGGGACACGCUGGUCCCGUUCCUGUUCUUGAUCCCGUUCCUGUUCCCACUCCAGUUCCUGGUCUUGUUCCCGUUCCCAUUCCCGAUCCUGAUCCCGUUCCCGGUCCCAGCAGCCCCAGGAGCUCAGGGACCCCGUGGGGACACCCAGGGGACAUCAGGGGUGGCGCUCUGGGGACAGGGACACGCUGGUCCCGCUCCUGUUUUUGAUCCCGUUCCUGUUCCCACUCCAGUUCCUGGUCUUGUUCCUGUUCCUAUUCCCGAUCCUGAUCCCGGUUCUGUUCCCAUUCCCGGUCCCAGCAGCCCCAGGACCCCGUGGUGACACCCAGGGGACAUCAGGGGUGGCACUUUGGGGACAGGGACACGCUCGUGCCACUCCUGAUCCCAUUCCAGUUCCUGGUCUUGUUCCCGUUCCCAUUCCCGAUCCUGAUCCCAUUCCUGUUCCCGGUCCCAUUCCCGGUCCCGUUCCCGGUCCCAGCAGCCCCAGGACCCCGUGGGGACACCCAGGGGACAUCAGGGGUGGCACUGUGGGGACAGGGACACGCUGGUCCCGCUCCGUUCUUGAUCCCGUUCCUGUUCCCGUUCCCGUUCCUGGUCUUAUUUCCGAUCCUGAUCCCGUUCCCGGUUCUGUUCCCAUUCCCGGUCCCACUUUGGGGACAGGGACACGCUGGUCCCGCUCCUGUUCCCACUCCAGUUCCUGGUCUUGUUCCUGUUCCCCUUCCCAUUCCCGGUCCCAUUUCUGGUUCUGUUCCCGUUCCGGUCCCGGUUCUGUUCCUAUUCCCGGUUCUAUUCCCGGUCCUGUCCCGUUCCCGGUUCUGUUCCCGUUCCUGUCCCGGUCCCGGUUCUGUUCCUAUUCCCAGUUCUAUUCCCGGUCCUGCUCCCGUUCCCGGUUCUGUUCCCAUUCCCGGUCCCAUUUCUGAUCCUAUUCCCGCUUCUAUUCCCAGUUCUGUUCCCACUCCCAGUUCCAUUUCUGUUCCCAUUCCCGGUUCUGUUCCUAUUCCCGGUCCUAUUCCCGUUCCUGUCCCAUUCCGGUCCUGAUCCCUUUCCUGAUCCCAUUCCCGGUCCCAGCAGCCCCAGGACCCCGUGGUGACACCCAGGGGACAUCAGGGGUGGCACUUUGGGGACAGGGACACGCUGGUCCCGCUCCUGUUCCCACUCCUACUCCCAUUCCAGUUCCUGGUCUUGUUCCCGUUCCUAUUCCCGUUCCUGUCCCAUUCCCAGUCCUGAUCCCUUUCCUGAUCCCAUUCCCGGUCCCAGCAGCCCCAGGAAUGCAGGGACCCCGUGGUGACACCCAGGGGACGUCAGGGGUGGCACUUUGGGAACAGGGACACGCUGGUCCCGUUCCUGUUCCCACUCCUGCUCCCAUUCCAGUUCCUGGUCUUGUUCCUGUUCCUAUUCCUGCUCCUGCUCCCAUUCCGGUUCCUGGUCUUGUUCCCAUUCCUAUUCCCGAUCCUGAUCCCAUUCCCGGCCCUAUUCCGGUUCCCAUUCCCGGUCCCAGCAGCCCCAGGAGCUCAGGGACUCUGUGGUGACACCCAGGGGACAUCAGGGGUGGCACUUUGGGGACAGGGACACGCUGGUCCCGUUCCUAUUCUUGAUCCCGUUCCUGUUCCCACUCCUGCUCCCAUUCCAGUUCCUGGUCUUGCUCCUGUUCCUAUUCCCGAUCCUGAUCCCAUUCCCGGCCCUUCCGGUUCCCAUUCCCGGUCCCAGCAGCCCCAGGAUUGCAGGGACUCUGUGGUGACACCCAAGGGACAUCAGGGGUGGCAUUUUGGGGACAGGGACACGCUGGUCCCGUUCCUACUCUUGAUCCCGUUCCUGCUCCCAUUCCAGUUCCUGGUCUUGUUCCCGUUCCUAUUCCCGAUCCUGAUCCCCUUCCCGUUCCUGAUCCCGGUUCUGUUCCCAUUCCCGGUCCCAUUUCUGCUU
rnacentral:lncRNA from 1 species